UUGCCUCAGUAACGGCGAGUGAAGCGGCAAGAGCUCAAAUUUGAAAGCUGGCCCCCUCGGGGUCCGCAUUGUAAUUUGCAGAGGAUGCUUCGGGAGUGGCCCCCAUCUAAGUGCUCUGGAACGGGCCGUCAUAGAGGGUGAGAAUCCCGUAUGGGAUGGGGUGUCCGCGACCAUGUGAAGCUCCUUCGACGAGUCGAGUUGUUUGGGAAUGCAGCUCUAAAUGGGUGGUAAAUUUCAUCUAAAGCUAAAUAUUGGCCGGAGACCGAUAGCGCACAAGUAGAGUGAUCGAAAGAUGAAAAGCACUUUGAAAAGAGAGUUAAAAAGCACGUGAAAUUGUUGAAAGGGAAGCGCUUGCGACCAGACUCGCCUACGGGGUUCAGCCGGUAUUCGUACCGGUGUACUUCCCCGUGGGCGGGCCAGCGUCGGUUUGGGCGGCCGGUCAAAGGCCCUCGGAAUGUAACGCCUCUCGGGGCGUCUUAUAGCCGAGGGUGCCAUGCGGCCAGCCCGGACCGAGGAACGCGCUUCGGCACGGACGCUGGCAUAAUGGUCGUAAGCGACCCGUCUUGAAACACGGACCAAGGAGUCUAACAUCUACGCGAGUGUUCGGGUGUCAAACCCGUGCGCGCAGUGAAAGCGAACGGAGGUGGGAACCCUCACGGGUGCACCAUCGACCGAUCCUGAAGUCUUCGGAUGGAUUUGAGUAAGAGCGUAGCUGUUGGGACCCGAAAGAUGGUGAACUAUGCCUGAAUAGGGCGAAGCCAGAGGAAACUCUGGUGGAGGCUCGCAGCGGUUCUGACGUGCAAAUCGAUCGUCAAAUUUGGGUAUAGGGGCGAAAGACUAAUCGAAC
rnacentral:rRNA from 1 species